rnacentral:rRNA from 1 species
CGGGUGAGUAAUGUCUGGGAAACUGCCUGAUGGAGGGGGAUAACUACUGGAAACGGUAGCUAAUACCGCAUAGCGUCGCAAGACCAAAGAGGGGGACCUUAGGGCCUCUUGCCAUCGGAUGUGCCCAGAUGGGAUUAGCUAGUAGGUGGGGUAAAGGCUCACCUAGGCGACGAUCCCUAGCUGGUCUGAGAGGAUGACCAGCCACACUGGAACUGAGACACGGUCCAG